UUAGCCAUAAGUGACUCACCUGUUGUACGAGGACAGGCUGAGAGAGCUGGGACUGUUUAGCCUGGAAAAGAGAAGACUGAGGGGAGACUUCAUUAAUGUGUGUAAAUAUCUGAGGAGAGGGUGUCGAGAGGAUUGAGCCAGUCUCUUUUCAGUUGUGCCCAGCGACAAGAUGAGAGGCAAUGGGCAUAAACUGAAGCACAGGAGGUUCAGGCUGAAUAUGAGAGGGUACUUCUUUACUGUGAGGGUGACAGAGCACUGG